CACUGGCCCUCUUCUAGCUCCAUCUCACCUGCUCGUCCAUGCCGGCAGGAUGCGGAUGGAAGGCCGCCGCUGCACCGCGCGAGAGGCCGUCACAGCUUGAGCUCUGUGCAGCCACGUCCAUGCUUCCCUCCUCCACCUCUUCUUGCAUGUUCCUCCCUCUCCCUCCUCCACCUCCUCUUCCAGGGGUUAUAUUGAAGGUUAUCACCGGUGAACCGGUGUUGGUGACAGGGAGGGUGCACAAAGAUGGAGUACUUGGUGGAUGUGUGGUCAGGGAACCAAGCCUACUAUGUCACCAACUCCUUCGCAUUAUUUGUCAUGGACAACCAGAUCUAGAGGUGGAAGGUGAUUGCGACCCACACUUUUCCUCUAUGUCGUGUUGGAGAAAAAUUCUGGCUGGUUGAUACGUGUGAGGUGCUCAAUCUGUGCUCAUCCUCAUUGCCGUCGACCUUGUCCCGCACUCGCCCCAUUGUCUAUCCACGAAGGGUCAGUGGUGCGCCAAGAAGAUGCACCAAAGGACGCCCGCCACCGUGGAUGAGAACCUACAGACUGAAGUUUUGAUGAUUCUUGUGUGAGGGAAAGAGGGAUGGCGGUGAGGAUGAGCUUGUCUGGCCUGGCAGCUCUACCUCCUCCACUGUAGAAAUGGACCUUAGGUACAAUGGAUUUUUUGAUGAUUGGAAACAAAUCCAAAUGUGGAGUGUUUUCUCGUGGAAAGCAGUUCUUCACGUGCCUAUUCAGCUGCAGCUCCAGGAGCUUGAUUUCUCCGACUAUAGGAGGCUUGCUUAUCCUCCGCCGCAAGGACAACAAGGCUGUCCUCAACAAGUACGAGAACCUGCCACCUCUUCACUCGCACCAUCCACGAGCGCAUCACAGGUUGCCGGUGGGAAUCCACCUUCAAGAUACGUCCUCAUCCGCUUCCUUAAUCUGUAGCUCUAUCGAUGAUUAUAUAUUUCGGUGUUUUUACUAGAUCCAAUUUCCCAUCAUCAGCAGCCAAGCAGCUUUACCAUCAUGAAUCCAUGAGAUAGAUUAAGUAAUGGUGCUAUUCAGCCCAUAUUUUUACCAUGGAUUUAUUUUGUAGGUGAAGAUUGUGUUAAUUAUUAGCUAUUUCACUUCUUUCUUCAGCUCGUUGUUCAUGAAGCGCUGUAUUCAAAGUAUAAAUGUAUAUGCUCAUUAGAAAUUUUUGCAGAGUGUGUGCCAUUUUUAUUAGAUGUAUACAUUUUGAGAGCAUAAUCAAGUGUUCUUCAAAGCUCUGCAUUUAUUCUGUUUCUCCUACUUUUGUGUACUAACUUCUGAAUAAUCUGCAUAUUAUAUAGUGCCAAACACCAAAAUAUAGGGUUGCCUGUGUAUUGAUCAGUGUGGUUUCACGAACUAUGCUUUGUUACGUCUGAGUGUAUUGAUAUUUUUCCUAGGUGUUUUAGUUGCAGUAAGAUGGUUUUUGUCUUUUAUGAAUUUAUUUUGCGCCAUUCAUGCCCCUCUGUGCCUAUAUUUUACUAGGUUGCUAUAGGAGAAAGGCCAGGUCUUUUUCCUGCUACAAAGAUCACCAUCAUAUAGUUGGGUGUUUCAUAUGGGUUGUUUCGAGUGUCAAGUUUUAAUGACCUUGCUGAUACUGGAUCCAACGUGGAGGUUGCUGGUAUCACCUCUAAUGGUGUUGAGUUCCAUCCCUUCCCUAACAGAUAUUGUGGACAGAAGGGGUAUAUUCAGAAUC